rnacentral:rRNA from 1 species
GAUGAACGCUAGCGGCAGGCUUAAUACAUGCAAGUCGAGGGGCAGCAUGACUGUAGCAAUACAGUUGAUGGCGACCGGCAAGCGGGUGCGGAACACGUACAGAACCUUCCUUCGAGCGGGGAAUAGCCCAGAGAAAUUUGGAUUAAUACCCCAUAGUAUAUUUGAAAGGCAUCUUUUAAAUAUUAAAGAUUUAUCACUUGAAGAUGGCUGUGCGGCUGAUUAGGUAGUUGGCGGGGUAACGGCCCACCAAGCCUGCGAUCAGUAACUGGUGUGAGAGCACGAACGGUCACACGGGCACUGAGACACUGGCCGGACUCCUACGGGAGGAAGCAGUAAGGAAUAUUGGUCAAUGGACGAAAGUCUGAACCAGACAUGCCGCGUGGAGGAUGAAGGUCCCCUGGAUUGUAAACCUCUUUUAUAUGGGACGAAAAAAGACUUUUCUAAGUCGUCUGACGGUACCAUAUGAAUAAGCACCGGCUAACUCCGUGCCAGCAGCCGCGGUAACAC